rnacentral:rRNA from 1 species
AUUGAACGCUGGCGGCAGGCCUAACACAUGCAAGUCGAGCGGAGCGGCGGACGGGGGAGUAAUGCCUAGGAAUCUGCCUGGUCGUGGGGGAUAACGUCCGGAAACGGGCGCUAAUACCGCAUACUAUCAGAUGAGUCUAGGUCGGUUGAGCUAGUUGGUGGGGUAAAGGCCUACCAAGGCGACGAUCCGUAACUGGGCUGGGAGGAUGAGCAGUCACACCGGAACUGAGACACGGUCCAGACGCCUACGGGAGGCAACAGUGGGGAAUAUUGGACAAUGGGCGAAAGCCUGAUCAAGCCAUGCCGCGUGUGUGAAGAAGGUGUUCGGGUUGUAAAGCUCUUUAAGUUGGGAGGCGUUACCAACAGAAGAAGCACCGGCUAACUUCGUGCCAGCAGCCGCGGUAAUUC